CAAUGAGGACUUUUACCACAUCAUAUAUAACAUUACGGGUCAUGAUUAUAUCGAAUGAUCCCUGGUCAUAAUCAUACCAAUAAACAGUUCAUCUAUGCACAUAAGCCAAAGAUAUUCAUCAAUCAAUAGUUCAUCUUUGCACGUAAGCCAAAGAUAUACAACUGUAAAACCAAUAAUCAACAGUCCAUCUUUGCACGUAAGCCAAAG
rnacentral:lncRNA from 1 species